rnacentral:rRNA from 1 species
AUUGAACGCUGGCGGCAGGCUUAACACAUGCAAGUCGAGCGGGGGAAGGUAGCUUGCUACCGGACCUAGCGGCGGACGGGAGAGUAAUGCUUAGGAAUCUGCCUAUUAGUGGGGGACAACAUCUCGAAAGGGAUGCUAAUACCGCAUACGUUCUACGGGAGAAAGCAGGGGAUCUUCGGACCUUGCGCUAAUAGAUGAGCCUAAGUCGGAUUAGCUAGUUGGUGGGGUAAAGGAAUACCAAAGCGACGAUCUGUAGCGGGUCUGAGAGGAUGGGCCGCCACACUGGGACUGAGACACGGCCCAGACUCCUACGGGAGGCAGCAGUGGGGAAUAUUGGACAAUGGGGGGAACCCUGAUCCAGCCAUGCCGCGUGUGUGAAGAAGGCCUUAUGGUUGUAAAGCACUUUAAGCGAGGAGGAGGCUACUUUAGUUAAUACCUAGAGAUAGUGGACGUUACUCGCAGAAUAAGCACCGGCUAACUCUGUGCCAGCCGCCGCCGUAA